UGUGGGAGCUGGCUUGCCAGCGAUGGCGUCUGAACAUUCAACAUAGCUGUUGGCUGUCAGAUUGCUAUCGCUGGCAAGCCAGCUCCCACA
rnacentral:antisense_RNA from 1 species